GAUGAACGCUGGCGGCGUGCCUAAUACAUGCAAGUCGAGCGAACGGACGAGAAGCUUGCUUCUCUGAUGUUAGCGGCGGACGGGUGAGUAACAGGUGGAUAACCUACCUAUAAGACUGGGAUAACUUCGGGAAACCGGAGCUAAUACCGGAUAAUAUUUUGAACCGCAUGGUUCAAAAGUGAAAGACGGUCUUGCUGUCACUUAUAGAUGGAUCCGCGCUGCAUUAGCUAGUUGGUAAGGUAACGGCUUACCAAGGCAACGAUGCAUAGCCGACCUGAGAGGGUGAUCGGCCACACUGGAACUGAGACACGGUCCAGACUCCUACGGGAGGCAGCAGUAGGGAAUCUUCCGCAAUGGGCGAAAGCCUGACGGAGCAACGCCGCGUGAGUGAUGAAGGUCUUCGGAUCGUAAAACUCUGUUAUUAGGGAAGAACAUAUGUGUAAGUAACUGUGCACAUCUUGACGGUACCUAAUCAGAAAGCCACGGCUAACUACGUG
rnacentral:rRNA from 1 species